rnacentral:sRNA from 1 species
GUUGUCUAAAGUGUGGAUACCCUUCUG